GAUGAACGCUGGCGGCGUGCCUAAUACAUGCAAGUCGAGCGAACGGACGAGAAGCUUGCUUUUCUGAUGUUAGCGGCGGACGGGUGAGUAACACGUGGAUAACCUACCUAUAAGACUGGGAUAACUUCGGGAAACCGGAGCUAAUACCGGAUAAUAUUUUGAACCGCAUGGUUCAAAAGUGAAGGACGGUCUUGCUGUCACUUAUAGAUGGACCCGCGCUGCAUUAGCUAGUUGGUAAGGUAACGGCUUACCAAGGCAACGAUGCAUAGCCGACCUGAGAGGGUGAUCGGCCACACUGGAACUGAGACACGGUCCAGACUCCUACGGGAGGCAGCAGUAGGGAAUCUUCCGCAAUGGGCGAAAGCCUGACGGAGCAACGCCGCGUGAGUGAUGAAGGUCUUCGGAUCGUAAAACUCUGUUAUUAGGGAAGAACAUAUGUGUAAGUAACUGUGCACAUCUUGACGGUACCUAAUCAGAAAGCCACGGCUAACUACGUG
rnacentral:rRNA from 1 species